ACGUCACAGCUGCACGCUAUUAACGUACAACCUUUCUUCCCAAUUGAAAGUGCUUUACAACCCUAAGGCCUUCUUCACACACGCGGCAUGGCUGCGUCAGGGUUUCCCCCAUUGCGCAAUAUUCCCC
rnacentral:rRNA from 1 species